rnacentral:rRNA from 1 species
UACGUAGGGUGCGAGCGUUGUCCGGAAUUUAUUGGGCGUAAAGAGCUUGUAGGCGGUUUGUCGCGUCUGCUGUGAAAUCUCAAGGCUCAACCUUGAGCUUGCAGUGGGUACGGGCAGACUAGAGUGUGGUAGGGGAGACUGGAAUUCCUGGUGUAGCGGUGAAAUGCGCAGAUAUCGGGAGGAACACCUAUGGCGAAGGCAGCUCGCUGGGACGUUUACUGACGCUGGAGAACGCGAAAAGCGUGGGGAGCAAACAGG